GAUGAACGCUGGCGGCGUGCCUAAUACAUGCAAGUCGAGCGAACGGACGAGAAUCUUGCUUUUCUGAUGUUAGCGGCGGACGGGUGAGUAAUACGUGGAUAACCUACCUAUAAGACUGGGAUUACUUCGGGAAACCGGAGCUAAUACCGGAUGAUACUUUGAACCGCAUGGUUCAAAAGUGAAAGACGGUCUUGCUGUCACUUAUAGAUGGAUCCGCGCUGCAUUAGCUAGUUGGUAAGGUAACGGCUUACCAAGGCAACGAUGCAUAGCCGACCUGAGAGGGUGAUCGGCCACACUGGAACUGAGACACGGUCCAGACUCCUACGGGAGGCAGCAGUAGGGAAUCUUCCGCGAUGGGCGAAAGCCUGACGGAGCAACGCCGCGUGAGUGAUGAAGGUCUUCGGAUCGUAAAACUCUGUUAUUAGGGAAGAACAUAUGUGUAAGUAACUGUGCACAUCUUGACGGUACCUAAUCAGAAAGCCACGGCUAACUACGUG
rnacentral:rRNA from 1 species